rnacentral:rRNA from 2 species
AACUUUCAGCAACGGAUCUCUUGGCUCUCGCAUCGAUGAAGAACGCAGCGAAAUGCGAUAAGUAAUGUGAAUUGCAGAAUUCAGUGAAUCAUCGAAUCUUUGAACGCACCUUGCGCCCCUUGGUAUUCCGAGGAGCAUGCCUGUUUGAGUGUCAUG